GAUGAACGCUGGCGGCGUGCCUAAUACAUGCAAGUCGAGCGAACAGACGAGGAGCUUGCUCCUCUGACGUUAGCGGCGGACGGGUGAGUAACACGUGGAUAACCUACCUAUAAGACUGGGAUAACUUCGGGAAACCGGAGCUAAUACCGGAUAAUAUAUUGAACCGCAUGGAUCAAUAGUGAAAGACGGUUUUGCCGUCACUUAUAGAUGGAUCCGCGCCGCAUUAGCUAGUUGGUAAGGUAACGGCUUACCAAGGCAACGAUGCGUAGCCGACCUGAGAGGGUGAUCGGCCACACUGGAACUGAGACACGGUCCAGACUCCUACGGGAGGCAGCAGUAGGGAAUCUUCCGCAAUGGGCGAAAGCCUGACGGAGCAACGCCGCGUGAGUGAUGAAGGUCUUCGGAUCGUAAAACUCUGUUAUUAGGGAAGAACAAAUGUGUAAGUAACUAUGCACGUCUUGACGGUACCUAAUCAGAAAGCCACGGCUAACUACGUG
rnacentral:rRNA from 1 species